AGGAGUAUUCUUGAAAAAAGAAGAAAGUAUUCUUGGAGAACAAGGUGUGAUAAUUGGGUGUGAUAAAAUUACAAAAAAGAAUAGACUUUAAAUUACAAAAACUGCCCAAUUGACCUUCGUUUUAUAUGUAAAACAAAACAACUAGAGAAGAGAACCAAAAAUCAUUUCCAAUGGGCUCUCAUAGUAAUCCUUUCAAUUCUCCUCUUCAAUUUUCCCACUGAUUUCAAUUUCUUUUCAUCCCUUAUCUUCUCCCCUCAAUUCUCUAUUUAUAUUAAUCCAAUUUCCACAUCUUCCUUCUUCAUUUACAUCUUCCUUCUUCAUCUCUGAUCCAACCAAAGCUCCAAUGCUUCAGCUGUUCUUCGCCGUCGCUUUCUCGGCCGUGCCAUUAACGCUCUAUGUGCCGCCGAUUCGUAGCCUUAGUUUGUUCGUUGAAACCCUAGAAGAUCUUCUCCAUCACACCGCCAUUCAUACCAUCAGAGCUUAUCCUCGCUUUCGCCUUGCCUUCUCUCGCCUCUUCGCCUCCUUUUUCCGCGUUUCUUAUUCCAGUGAAAAUGGUCUUUAGAUAAAGAGAUAAAGAUCUACCCAUUAGUUCAUCAGUUGCUCACAUUGGCAUUGAUUUUACCGGUUGCAACAGCUAUUGUAGAGAGAACAUUUUCUACUAUGAAUAUUGUAAAGACUCGACUGCACGAUCGAUUGAGAGAUUAAUUGAUGAAUGAUUGUCUUAUAGCUUAUAUUGAGAAAGAUUUAUUAGAUAAGUUAGAUAAUAAACUUAUCAUGGAUCGAUUUCAAAACUCUCGUAAAGGACAAUUGUACGUAUUAAAUUAAUUAAUCUUUGAAGCUAUUGAUUUGUUUUUUA